rnacentral:sRNA from 2 species
ACACUUUGCCCCGUCUUUGGGGAGUAGCCUUCCUUCCGCAAUGGAAGGAGAGCGCGUCAACAUCCUCGGCACUGGCUGCCGUGGCGCGCUCGACCGGUCCGGCUUGGCGAGACCAUCGAUGCGCUAUGUCGUUCUUGGUCGGACGGCGUGUGGGGCAUCGUGGUUCGCUCGCGUCCGACCG